GAUGAACGCUGGCGGCGUGCCUAAUACAUGCAAGUCGAGCGAACAGACGAGGAGCUUGCUCCUCUGACGUUAGCGGCGGACGGGUGAGUAACACGUGGAUAACCUACCUAUAAGACUGGGAUAACUUCGGGAAACCGGAGCUCAUACCUGAUAAUAUAUUCAACCGCAUGGUUCCAUAGUGAAAUCCGGUUUUGCUGUCACUUAUAGAUGGAUCCGCGCCGCAUUAGCUAGUUGGUAAGGUAACGGCGUACCAAGGCGACGAUGCGUAGCCGACCUGAGAGGGUGAUCAGCCACACUGGAACUGAGACACGGUCCAGACUCCUACGGGAGGCAGCAGUGGGGAAUCUUGCGCAAUGGGCGAAAGCCUGACGCAGCAACGCCGCGUGAGUGAUGAAGGUCUUCGGAUCGUAAAACUCUGUUAUUAGGGAAGAACAGAUGUGUAAUUAACUAUGCACGUCUUGACGGUACCUAAUGAGAAAGCCCCGGCUAACUACGUG
rnacentral:rRNA from 1 species